rnacentral:sRNA from 1 species
UUAGCGACGUCCACGUUUUCGCUCUGUUGAUAGAGUUUGCCGACGGCUUCACUGAUGGCAGGAUGCCAGCUCACGGCGCGGUUAACGGCGUCGUCCAGCCGUAGCGUACCGGGGGCGGCUUUGCUGGCAACGGGCGCCACGCGGCCAUUUAACGAGGGGAGUUCCUGCGUUUCGCUUAAUUGUCCGGUAUUAAUCAUCGCCGCAGGAUUUGCCGCGAUAGCGGGCACAGAUAUCAGGCAGCACGAGAGCCACCAGUAAGGCAUCUUCUUUCCCAUGUCUUGUCCCUAAUAAAAGAGUACUGCUUUAUUGUUUAUGCCCGGGCGCUGCGCGCCCGGGUCAUU